AACGUAGGAGGCAAGCGUUAUCCGGAGUUACUGGGCGUAAAGGGCGUGCAGGUGGUUCAAUAAGUUGGUUAUGAAAGCUCCUGGCUAAACUGGGAGAGGUUGACCAAGACUGCUGAACUUGAGUGGAUGAGAGGUAAACGGAAUUCCGCGUGUAGUGGUGAAAUGCGUAGAGAUGCGGAGGAACACCAGUGGCGAAGGCGGUUUACUGGCAUCCAACUGACACUGAGACGCGAAAGCAUGGGUAGCGAACGGG
rnacentral:rRNA from 1 species